GUGCCAGCCGCCGCGGUAAUACGGAGGGUGCAAGCGUUGUUCGAAAUUACUGGGCGUAAAGCGCGCGUAGGUGGCGAAGCAAGUCUUGUGUGAAAGCCCCAGGCUUAACCUGGGAAAUGCAUGAGAAACUGCUUUGCUCGAGGACGUGAGGGGAGAGCGGAAUUCCAAGUGUAGUGGUGAAAUACGUAGAUAUUUGGAGGAACACCGGUGGCGAAAGCGGCUCUCUGGCACGUAUCUGACACUCAGGCGCGAAAGCGUGGGGAGCAAACAGGAUUAGAUACCCUGGUAGUCCACGCCGUAAACGAUGUGUACUUGAUGUUGGAGGAUUUUGACCCUUUCAGUAUCGUAGCUAACGCGAUAAGUACACCGCCUGGGGAGUACGGCCGCAAGGCUAAA
rnacentral:rRNA from 1 species